rnacentral:rRNA from 1 species
UGGGGAAUAUUGGGCAAUGGGCGCAAGCCUGACCCAGCAACGCCGCGUGAAGGAAGAAGGCUUUCGGGUUGUAAACUUCUUUUCUGAGGGACGAUAGUGACGGUACCUCAGGAAUAAGCCACGGCUAACUACGUGCCAGCAGCCGCGGUAAUACGUAGGUGGCAAGCGUUAUCCGGAUUUACUGGGUGUAAAGGGCGUGUAGGCGGGAUUGCAAGUCAGAUGUGAAAACUAUGGGCUCAACCCAUAGCCUGCAUUUGAAACUGUAGUUCUUGAGUGUUGGAGAGGCAGGCGGAAUUCCGUGUGUAGCGGUGAAAUGCGUAGAUAUACGGAGGAACACCAGUGGCGAAGGCGGCCUGCUGGACAAUAACUGACGCUGAGGCGCGAAAGCGUGGGGAGCAAACAGGAUUAGAUACCC